GGUAAACAAACAAAUAAACGACAGUGAUGAUGUCAUCGAUACACACGUUGACCACAUUUUCAAAACACUUGUGUGAAAUAUCUUCGUGUGAACCUUAAAUGACAGAAAGGCAUGAGAGACAAUAGUUUGAUUAAAGAGAAUACAUUUAUAUAUAAAUAUUUAUUCUAUUCUAUCGGCACAAAAUACAUACAAGUUGUUUUCCUUCCGAUAACUAUUGAUAAUUUAGGUGUAUUUUAAAUGUUAUCGCAUUACUUCA